rnacentral:rRNA from 1 species
AUGACGUCAAGUCCUCAUGGCCCUUAUAGGUGGGGCUACACACGUCAUACAAUGGCCGGUACAGAGGGUAGCCAACCCGCGAGGGGGAGCCAAUCCCACAAAGCCGGUCGUAGUCCGGAUCGCAGUCUGCAACUCGACUGCGUGAAGUCGGAAUCGCUAGUAAUCGCGGAUCAGCAUGUCGCGGUGAAUACGUUCCCGGGUCUU